rnacentral:tRNA from 1 species
UUUUUGAUGGCCGAGCGUUAGGCCGUAAAUUUUUAAUUUACUCACAGGAGAACCCUUCUUGCGU